rnacentral:rRNA from 1 species
CCUACGGGUGGCAGCAGUGAGGAAUAUUGGUCAAUGGGCGCGAGCCUGAACCAGCCAAGUAGCGUGAAGGAUGACUGCCCUACGGGUUGUAAACUUCUUUUAUGAAGGAAUAAAGUGAGGCACGUGUGCCGUUUUGUAUGUACUGUAUGAAUAAGGACCGGCUAAUUCCGUGCCAGCAGCCGCGGUAAUACGGAGGAUCCGGGCGUUAUCCGGAUUUAUUGGGUUUAAAGGGAGCGUAGAUGGGUUGUUAAGUCAGGUGUGAAAGUUUGCGGCUCAACCGUAGCAUUGCAAUUGAUACUGGCAGUCUUGAGUACAGUUGAGGUAGGCGGAAUUCGUGGUGUAGCGGUGAAAUGCUUAGAUAUCACGAAGAACUCCGAUUGCGAAGGCAGCUUACUACACUGCCACUGACAUUGAUGCUCGAAAGUGUGGGUAUCAAACAGGAUUAGAUACCCCGGUAGUC